GUAGGGGGCGAGCGUUGUCCGGAUUUACUGGGCGUAAAGCGCGUGUAGGCGGUUUGCCAAGUCCGGGGUGAAAGGCGGGGGCUCAACCCCCGAGCUGCGCUGGAAACUGGCAGACUUGAGUGUCGGAGAGGGGAGUGGAAUUCUCGGUGUAGCGGUGAAAUGCGUAGAGAUCGAGAGGAACACCCGUGGCGAAGGCGGCUCCCUGGCCGAACACUGACGCUGAGACGCGAAAGCGCGGGGAGCGAACGGGAUUAGAUACCCCGGUAGUCCGCGCCGUAAACGAUGGUCACUAGGUGUACGCGGUAUCGACCCCGCGUGUGCCGCAGCUAACGCAAUAAGUGACCCGCCUGGGGAGUACGGCCGCAAGGUUG
rnacentral:rRNA from 1 species